rnacentral:rRNA from 1 species
AGAACGAACGCUGGCGGCAUGCCUAACACAUGCAAGUCGAACGAGACCGCUGACUUCGGUUGGCGCGUCUAGUGGCGCACGGGUGCGUAACGCGUGGGAAUCUGCCCUUGGGUACGGAAUAACAGUUAGAAAUGACUGCUAAUACCGUAUAAUGACUUCGGUCCAAAGAUUUAUCGCCCAGGGAUGAGCCCGCGUAGGAUUAGCUAGUUGGUGAGGUAACGGCUCACCAAGGCGACGAUCAGUA